CAAAGGGGACUAAUUUACUGCUGUGCUCUUUUCACAGCACUCUAUCAAUACUGCAAUAGCUGUAGCUUAAUAGCAGAGCAAAGGAAAUCUAUUCUGCUUUUAAUUUGUAACAGGUUUUCAAAGGGGAAUCAUUAUCCUGAUUAUGAUUCAAUAAACAGAAACCUGAACCCAGGCCAGGUCCCUUCAUGGCUGCCAGAAAGAACAGCAGGGGAAGGCAAAAGAAUCACCAUGUUUCAGGCUUAAGCAGAGCUUAAUGCAGCAAGACAUUCAAACAAGUGCUGCUCACCUUGAGCUUUAUCUGGCUGCCGGGAAACACAAAGAAGGACAGCAAUUCCCUGAGGUCUCAGCCAAUGCCAACUCUGAUACAGUUGGUUACGCUUUGUGUCUCAAGUCAAGGGCAGUUUUAUAACUAUAAUGCAGAAUGAAGCUGGCUCAAGCGUGGAACAUCCAAAAAAAUGCACACCCUCAAUAUGUGCUGCAGCACACAUCAAGCGAGAAACAGCAUGUUAAAAACUCAAUGGAAAAUGAGCCAGAUAAUGCACUCAGGGCCAUCAGGGUACAUCCCAUGCAGGGUUCAAAACUGAGAUAUACUCGGAUCAUCUGCAGUGAAUCAGAGCAUCUCGAUGGAUUGGAUAAGGAGAAAACCUGCAUUUUCCAGAGGCUAUCUAGCUACAGAUACUGCAAUUGCUGGAUCUAGUUCCAACCUGCAAUCAGCCAAUACUGUGGCCAUGGUUCCAGCCUCAAACUGGUUCCUGCCGUGUUUGUAUAGGUGCUGUACAAUAAAACCAGUUUGCUUUAAUCCACUUCUAAACUGCAUUGAAGUGUCUGUGUAGAACAGUAUACAGAAGGAAGAAAACAUUCAGAGAUGUGUGGUUUUCAGUGGUUCACAGGAAAAACAUAGCAACUUAAGGAGAACACAGACAAAUGUAACCAUGUAGGGCUAUGCAGAAAAUCAAAGCACAAAUGGGAAAGAGCUCUGUAACCGUUAAAAGGCUACAAAAUUGGGCAGUCAUCUGAUUCCAUGCAGAUUCCCAUACUUCAGUACAUCCUAAUAAAGUUUGCCCAACUGUGGUUUUGGUUUUCAUAUUAAUGAGAGGAUUAUAGUGGGCCUUUGGUAUCUACUGGGGUUUGGUUCUAGGAUCUGUGGAUGAUGAAAUCCUAUCACCUUGUCAUAUGCAGCACCGGAAUAUUUGGGUAUUGCUGCAGAUUGUGGUGAUCCCAGCAGCACCUGCCCAGGUGGUGUAGUGAUCUAUUACCCUGUGCCCCUCUCCAUCCCGACUUCCCCCCGUCUCAGAAAACCUCCUAAAUCCAGCUCAACCCAUCAUUCCUAAUGGAAAGAAGAGGAGUUCUCUGGGGUGUAAUGGCAGCUAUUGGGCGUCAUGGAUGAACAACAGAGCACUUGUUGCCGUUGCCAAAAAAUAAGUAAUGGUGUGCCUUAUAUAAAAAGGCAAAACCAAGGUUUGCUUUUUAGGAUUUUUUAUCCUAAAAGAGAGAUGCUUUCAAGCUGUGGAUGGUUGUUUUUCACUGAUACAAAGAGCCAAC